GAUGAACGCUGGCGGCGUGCCUAAUACAUGCCAGUCGAGCGAACGGACGAGAAGCUUGCUUCUCUGAUGUUAGCGGCGGACGGGUGAGUAACACGUGGAUAACCUACCUAUAAGACUGGGAUAACUUCGGGAAACCGGAGCUAAUACCGGAUAAUAUUUUGAACCGCAUGGUUCAAAAGUGAAAGACGGUCUUGCUGUCACUUAUAGAUGGAUCCGCGCUGCAUUAGCUAGUUGGUAAGGUAACGGCUUACCAAGGCAACGAUGCAUAGCCGACCUGAGAGGGUGAGCGGACACACGGGAAGUGAGAAACGGAACAGACGCCGACGGGAGGAAGCAGUAGGGAAUAUUACGCAAUGGGCGAAAGCAUGACAGAGCAAAGCAGAGUGAGUGAUGAAGGUCUUCGGAUCGUAAAAAUCUGUUAUGAGGGAAGAAAAUAUGUGUAAGUAACUGUGCACAGAUUGACGGUACAUAAUCAGAAAGCCACGGCUAACUACGUG
rnacentral:rRNA from 1 species